rnacentral:rRNA from 1 species
GUCUGUGGCCAUGCUUCCCUGAACAAGCUCGAUCCCAUCUGAUCUCAGAAGCUAAGCAGGGUCAGGCCUGGUUAGUACUUGGAUGGGAGACCACCUAGGAAGACCAGGUGCUGUAGGCG